rnacentral:lncRNA from 1 species
UUUUGUAACUUAAUGUACCUACUGAUUUUGUAAUCUUAUUUUAGGAUCUCAAACUACUUUUAACUUUCAUACCUUAGGUAGGAGGUUGUUAUGCAUCUUUUACUCAUGAGAAUGCUUAUUAGUUGUUUUUUUGUUAUAUAACAUUAUGCUUAACUUUUUUGAGUUAUUUUUAGUCAUGAUUUUAAUUAGUUUUAAUGGUUGCACUUGCAGCUACAAUUACAAGUUUGUUUAAGAUACUUGUUGAAGAAGGAAACUAAGUUAUUAAUAUGCUUAACUAAGAAGGUUUGCCAUCUAAUUUGUGCUCAAUUUAAAUUCCUACAUUAGUUUCUACUUUAUUAACUAAGUGCUCUUUUUAUACAUAGAUAAGUUGAUUUAAUUUUCAGUACUAGUUAUUACAUUAUUUUCAUUUCUAGCGUGUUCUUUUCUAACCCGGUGAUAAUUUGAUUGGAACAAGUAGGUUAACCAAAAAAGGCUUUGGUUAGGAAGGUUGAUUGAGAUUGCGAAUCAAGAACGAUCUAAAAGUGCUACAAGUAUGAUUGGAUAGUUUCUACUUUAAGGU